rnacentral:lncRNA from 1 species
GAAGACACAAACACACAAAUUGGUGUAAAAGUUUGCGCAUAUGGGGAAAAGAAAAACCCAGCUGACAUGGGGUUUUGGUCUGGCUGCUUAUGUUUUGACUCUGGGUUUGCCACUUACUGGUCAAAGGUUAGAUUUGGACCCUUUCCCUGUAGGUGAGUGUGAUUUGGAGUCUACUAUUAUAGUUCAGGGAGUUUCUAUUUUUGGCUCACAUUAAAAGCCAGGGGUUAGCAGUUUGGAUGUUCCAUCUCUGUUUUUUGUGGGUGUUUUGUUUUGUGUGAGACAGGACAUAGUCUUCAGGGAUGAGUUUUGUUUAAGCUAUUUAUCUCAUAGAGGAUUCACUCUCUGUUGAUAGACUGUGUGCAGUUUGGGGAAAGCUUUC